AGCACAGUUUAGAUGACGUCCAUACAAUAUGACACAUUUCUAUAUUCAGAGGUGAAGACCCCAGGAAGUGAAAGAGUAGAGGUUGAGAUAGUAUGGGUUAAGCUCCAAAAACAGUAGAACCUGCCUCAUAAACACCCGAAUCUUUCAAACCAUAUGCCUAAAGUUUGCUUUCUGUUAUACAAUAUAGAUCUCAAGCCCAAGCUGAUCACAUCAUCAGGAUUGUUUUAUCAAAUCAGUGUUUGGAAACCUCCCCCAGAGCCACAGAAGACAUCAUACAACUUUGACAUGGUUUGAGUUUUUCUAUUUAAGAGACAUGGUCUUAGUUCAUGUCCAUAACAAGUAAUGACAAAAAAAAUGAAAUAAGGAAAUAUAUGAUCUGUUUAUUUAUUCAUUUGAAAUGUAGUUUGUAGAUGCAUUUUAUUUUGAAUACAUUUCAGCAGCUCUUGGUCAUGCAUUUAAACAAAAACUUAAUUGCUCUGAGAAUCCAGUAAGGGAGCACAUCUGCUUCUCUCAAAAGAAAAUACAAUCAGACUCCAUUAUUACC